AAUGCAUUUAUUUUCUUAUACCAUAGGUGUCAUCUUUUGAUUAUUACCAUUUGCAGCUGCAACACGCCAUAGGCAGAAACUAGCUGGAUUCCAACAUGCCAGAUUCAAAAGAAAGCAAUAUUUGAAUUUCAAGAGGAAUAAAAAUAUCACUGCUGCACAUAUAGUCCAAGAUAAUCAAUAUGAAGAACAGCGUAUACAAACACUUGCUACGUUUCGACAAGCCAGAUUCAAAAGAAGGCAAAUAUUGAAUUUUAGACGAAAUAAGACCAAGCCUGGGACAGAUAUAGCAAGCACUAGCCAACUCAAUCAACCACUAACAGAAGAAAGACAUAAUAGAAAAAAGAGGAGAACCACAAAAAACUAUACUCCAUCUCAGGUCCAGAGCACAAUUUGUAAGUAUAAACAAACCUAUAUAG